rnacentral:rRNA from 1 species
UCCGUAGGUGGAUAAUUAAGUCAGGGGUGAAAGUCUGCAGCUCAACUGUAGAAUUGCCCUUGAUACUGGUUGUCUUGAGUCAUUAUGAAGUAGUUAGAAUAUGUAGUGUAGCGGUGAAAUGCAUAGAUAUUACAUAGAAUACCAAUUGCGAAGGCAGAUUACUAAUAAUGUACUGACACUGAUGGAAGAAAGCGUGGGGAGCGAACAGGAUUAGAUACCCUGGUAGUCC